rnacentral:lncRNA from 1 species
AGAAGUGUUGGGAGCACCAUUUUUGAUGGAGGACCCAGCAAACCAAUUCCUACGCCUAAAAAGACAAGUGGUACACUUGCAAGAUUUCUGGGGCCCAGAUCACCACCCAGAUGAGAAGGAAAUAUCACUGGCUGAUGAGGCUUGGGAAACAUGGACUUCUUUGAAAGCAAGUGCACACCGCUAUUUUGACACAAACACAUUGGCCUUUGAUAUAUCUGCUGUCCCAUAAAUGGACUUGAGUGUUGCAAAGGGAAGAACAAAAAUGGUAGGAGUUGGGACCACAGUGUGCUCAAACCACAGGCUUGGAGAGACGGGAAGACCGAAUGUGGCCUUCGCUAUAUUAUUUAUUAUGCCUAACUCACAGACACUAUGAACGAAACAAUGGUGAAAACCCUUGCAGACAUCUGGAUGAAAUUGGAAAUUCUCCAUAAAUGCCCAUUCUUGAGAAAGAGCAUAAAGUCUAAAGUAAAAGCAUUUACCCAAAGAAGGGCUUUUCUGAAAAAGGGGAUGCAAACUUCAACAAAUAGUGCCAUUAAAACAUUCUGCUCAC